AAAAACCCCAGCCAGAGAGCAAGAAGAGCUUGUUGAGGUUUCUCCAAAUCUUGAAUUAACAAUGGCGAUUCUUGUACUCCCAUUGAUUACUUCAAUUCUCAAACCCCACAAAACUCACUUCUCCUUUCUGCCUUUACCCAUCAUUCUUCACAGGCGUUUCUUUUCUAAAUCUUCCACUGUCUCUGCACUGUCUACUUCUUCUUCUUCUUCUCAUGUGUCUCACAAUUCAGAAAAUCAAAAGAAAGCCUCUGUUCCAACUUUCCAACAAGCCAUUCAAAGGCUUCAGGAGUAUUGGGGUUCUGUAGGAUGUGCCGUGAUGCAAUGCA
rnacentral:misc_RNA from 1 species